GAACUCUCCAUUUUCUUUAGAAUACUCCGUCGUUCUGCGCCGCCGACGCAUGUAUUUCUGCUGCUCAUUCUUAUAGCGGCCGUCGGCGACUAGCAUGUGCGUAUCAACCGAGCAGGUGCACACCAUCUAUGCUCCUCAGUCUUGUAGCGAUCGUCGGCGACUAGUGUGUGUACGUCAACCGAGCAGGUGCACACCGUCUCCAUCAGACUGGGCAACGAGACGACGGCCUCCAUGUUUCUCUGUGUUAUAGGCCACUGGCAACAUACAUCAAUCCCCGUCAGCGAGGUGAAUAUGGGUCACCCACUGCCACCCCAACUUAAUCACACUCCAGCACCCCAGAAGACCUUCCAUCGGUGGCGUAGGCAUCCACUUCCUCAUGCACCUCAAUUUGAUGGAUGGAUCGAGUUAAAUGGUCAACCAAUUAUCGCCUCCAAGCCGGUUAUCAACAACAACACGGAACUAGGACCUCUCAUCGACGUGUGAUGCAUGGCCGAUGGUGGCCUCAUGGUGAAGAUGUAUUCCGAUAUAUACUUCGUCAAAUCAUUAUACUCGUAUAGGAAAGUAUACGCACUGGUGGCACGCUUUUUUACUUACAAGAAUAUUUGAUGGAUACAUACUCUAUUCUUGUGGAUGUCUACUUUCUGGAUAUACUCCAUUAUGAAGGAUAAUGUUGUUUUAAAGUUAGUGUA